GUGGCUAAUCGCCUGAAUGUAAUUUAUAAUUAUUAAUUAUAUAUCUUUUUGAAUUUAUUGAAGUCACUUCGGGGUAUUACGUGAAUGGCAUACACUGUAAAAGUGAAAUUUGCCAAUUGAAGUUAAUUAAUUUAACUCAAAAAUGUAAAAGAUUAUUUCAUCUUAAUUUGUGAUUUUAACUCAAAAGCUAUUUAGGUUAAGCAGAACUCAAGCUAAAAAAAUACAUAUUAAUUUAUUGAAUCUACCAUACAAUCUAUUCUUUUUAAGUAUAAAUGGCUGACCACAAAAUAUUUAAAAGAAUAAUGAACAUAAUUCGUGUUUUCAAACAGAGUAAAAAAGUAAUUAUUUUACUCGACAAAAUAAUAUCCGUGUGUUUUUCAAAAACCGCGCGCAUUUUUCAGUCAGUCACGUCACGUGCACUCCGCUCAUCCACACUGGACCGCACUCACUCACUCGCUGAUGGGAUCACAGCAGGAUUAACGUUAUUCGCGAGACACGACGCGGUCAUGGUAAAAAAUACAGUGCAAAGGCAGAGAGUGAAGGUGUGGUGGUAGUGGCAGCAAGAAGGCUGCAAUAAUAUGGGCCUGAAAUGAAGUACCGGAACAUUAUCAGUCAUUCAGGCUAUGAUCCUGGCAGAUCUACUUCCUGAAAAGAAGACUCAGCAGAUCUUUUCAAGACACACUAGAUGGAGCGCGGAGAGACCGGACAGUUCCCACAGUGCUAGUUUUUCAGCACCCACACCCCCAACACAAAUUCAGAUAGAAGUUUUCAAUAAUAAAAAGUUCAUAUGAUAGUUUAUAUUUAGCUAUGAAGCAAUAGUUUAUUGUCAUAAAUAUUAAACUAAAUAUUAAAGUCCUUCUGUAGUGAAAAUCAAGUUUUUAUGCUGUUUUUUUGUCUUUGUGGCAUUAAAUAUUGCUACAUCACAAUCCAAUAACCAAUCACAUCUAAGAAUAAUUUCCUAUAGCAUGCCAAUACCAGCGCACAAGCACAAAGCUAAAGACAAAUUAUAGCAAAAAAAUUAGAUUUAAUAUUUGACUACAGGGGACUUACAUUUUUUUUUUACAGUCUGUUCAAUGUGUUGAAAGGGAAAGUGAUUAUCUUUAAUAAUUCAGAUACCUGUUGAAAUGCACAUGUAAUUGAAUGCUUGCUUGGAUCUGGAAUGUUGUGUUAAUAAAUGUUAUGCUGAAAGAGAAUGUUGCAACAGUGCUAACCUGAAAAUAAAAUUUUAUUAAGC